rnacentral:rRNA from 1 species
CCUCCGAAUUGGGGAUAACUCUGCGAAAGCGGUGCUAAUACCGAAUGAUAUCUCAGGAACCUCGGUUUUUGAGAUCAAAGGUGGCCUCUCAUUAGAAGCUACUGUUUGGAGAUGGGCUCGCGUACCAUUAGCUUGUUGGUAGGGUAAUGACCUACCAAGGCAACGAUGGUUAGCUGGUCUGAGAGGAUGAUCAGCCACACUGGAACUGACACACGGUCCAG